rfam:Schistocephalus solidus strain NST_G2 genome assembly, scaffold: SSLN_scaffold0002360
GGCCUUGAGGGUCAUUUGGCUAAAACGUUGGCGGAAUUUAAGCCUUCCCCCUGAUGGCGUGGGUUAGAAUCCCACCAAGGCCG